rnacentral:rRNA from 1 species
UACGAAGGGGGCUAGCGUUGUUCGGAAUUACUGGGCGUAAAGCGCACGUAGGCGGAUUCUUAAGUCGGGGGUGAAAUCCUGAGGCUCAACCUCAGAACUGCCUUCGAUACUGGGGAUCUUGAGUUCGGAAGAGGUUGGUGGAACAGCUAGUGUAGAGGUGAAAUUCGUAGAUAUUAGCUAGAACACCAGUGGCGAAGGCGGCCAACUGGUCCGAUACUGACGCUGAGGUGCGAAAGCGUGGGGAGCAAACAGG